UACGAAGGGGGCUAGCGUUGUUCGGAAUUACUGGGCGUAAAGCGCACGUAGGCGGUCUGUUUAGUUAGGCGUGAAAGCCCUGGGCUCAACCUGGGAAUUGCGCUUAAUACUUGCAGGCUUGAAUCCGCGAGAGGACAGUGGAAUUCCGAGUGUAGAGGUGAAAUUCGUAGAUAUUCGGAAGAACACCGGUGGCGAAGGCGACUGUCUGGCGCGGUAUUGACGCUGAGGUGCGAAAGCGUGGGGAGCAAACAGG
rnacentral:misc_RNA from 1 species